rnacentral:lncRNA from 1 species
CGUGGAUGCAUCGGAGAAAAAUACGUGCAAUGCAAUAAACGCCCGUUUCAAAGAACCAACCUGUGUCUGUUGUCGUGAAGAGAGCUACAGUGAGAACUCGCCUGCUCAACACGGGUAGGAGAGACAACAAGAUCGCCGCGGGUAACGACGCAACGAAGAUCCAGCAGAUCAGAUAAGCAAAGCCCAUGACAUUGUCGGCUUAGCGACAGCAAGCAACGGUGAUUGGACUGUGUUGAAAGCGCAACUUUUCAGGCCAAAAGCACUCUACCACAACAUUCAAGUUAAGUUGGUAUGAGAAGUGGUUCUACUUUGAAAUUGCAACUAAGGACUCAGCUCUAUGAAUCGUACAUACUGUGCUUAGCCUACAUGUUUUGGGGAUAAAUCGAAUGUGCUGGUGUUUGUGGUUGUUACGUGUUACGAGAUUUAAAGGGAAACUUAACUCCAUAAGCAAGUGAACACGUUUUGAGUAAAGAUAAAAGAUAAUCAUACAUUGAAAUUAAGAUUAAUGUUUUAUGAAAAGUGGUGUUAGCCAAGCUUAAAGAGCAAUUUAAGCAAAGUUUAACCUCUAUGGGCUAGGUGGGACGCCAUUUGUAUUUCUUUGUUUCAGUACUAUAAUUUAUCAACGUUACUGUGUUCAUUCAAACAUAUAGUUCUCACGGCGUGACGUGGAUGCAUCGGAGAAAAAUACGUGCAAUGCAAUAAACGCCCGUUUCAAAGAACCAACCUGUGUCUGUUGUCGUGAAGAGAGCUACAGAGACCCUCUGAUCUAAAUAUAGGUCUCUACUAUGGGGACGUUGGGCUGGUAUAGAGAGAAGAGGAGGAGAGACCCUCUGAUCUAAAUAUAGAUCUCUACUAUGGGGACGUUGGGCUGGUAUAGAGAGAAGAGGAGGAGAGACCCUCUGAUCUAAAUAUGGGUCUCUACUAUGGGGACGUUGGGCUGGUAUAGAGGCAAGAGGAGGAGAGGAAAGUAAACAAGAGGUGGAGGAGGGGGUGAACACGGGGGAGAGAGAGAGAGGUUCAGAUGAAAGGAAAAUGGGAGAGAGGGGGUUGGAGGGAGAGGGAGACAGAUGCGUUCACACUUACCCGAUGAACAAUUAAUAAGCUAAUUAUAGUACAUCAAAAGGAUCUUGUCUUCCUCCGAUGAAGGAUUUAUUUUUUAUUAAAGAUAGAGGUGGGGGGGCAGAAUAAAUAAGGAAAUGAAACACAGAGAGCAGAACAGUCCUGGUUUUGCACGACUAGGAUUCCUAUUAUAAAGGAUUUUAGGCUUCUUAUAGUAGUGUCAUUGUGAAUAGUGUUUGUCUUCAUAUGUCAGUAUUGUGAAUGUUAAUUUGUCUUAUAUAACGUGUAUUAUCCUCAUGUAAAAUAUAAUUCUGAAAUAUCAUUGUGCAGCAGUCAUUUAGCACUAUUGUGUCUUCAUGUUGUGAAUGGUAGUGUAUUUAUCUUGAUAUCCUAGUAUUGUGAAUGGUAGUGUAUUUAUCUUGAUAUCCUAGUAUUGUGAAUGGUAGUGUAUUUAUCUUGAUAUCCUAGUAUUUUGAAUGGAAGUGUAUUUAUCUUGAUAGUAUUGUG